AAAUUGCUCUUUUAGAAUUUAUCUUGUAGGUUUCUUCUAAAGAAGAACACCUUC
ensembl:snRNA U7 U7 small nuclear RNA